rnacentral:snoRNA from 1 species
GCCCAAUGAUGAGACCAAGGCGAAUGCGAGCUCGUUGGGUAAGAGUCUGAGCUCUUCUGUGCUCCUAUUGGCUGGUAAUCUUGGCUGGGCAGGGGAGAUUUGCUGCUUUGCUGUAAGGGCCUGCCUACAUUAAGCAAGUUCUUCCUAUCAAGCUUUCCCUCAGAGAAAUGCAGGAGAAAUUUGGGAAGAAUGAACAGUGUAUGUGUGUGUGUGUAUAGACGUGGACACGUCGAAACUCAGUUCUCUGUAAUGUCCAAUGAGCUGUGAGCUAGUUCUUCUGUAGUCUGAGGGCA